rnacentral:rRNA from 1 species
GAUGAACGCUGGCGGCGUGCUUAACACAUGCAAGUCGAACGGUGAAGCAGGAGCUUGCUCUUGUGGAUCAGUGGCGAACGGGUGAGUAACACGUGAGCAACCUGCCCCUGACUCUGGGAUAAGCGCUGGAAACGGCGUCUAAUACUGGAUAUGUGAUGUGACCGCAUGGUCUGCAUCUGGAAAGAAUUUCGGUUGGGGAUGGGCUCGCGGCCUAUCAGCUUGUUGGUGAGGUAAUGGCUCACCAAGGCGUCGACGGGUAGCCGGCCUGAGAGGGUGACCGGCGACACUGGGACUGAGACACGGCCCAGACUCCUACGGGAGGCAGCAGUGGGGAAUAUUGCACAAUGGGCGGAAGCCUGAUGCAGCAACGCCGCGUGAGGGAUGACGGCCUUCGGGUUGUAAACCUCUUUUAGCAGGGAAGAAGCGAAAGUGACGGUACCUGCAGAAAAAGCACGGCUAACUACGUGCCAGCCGCCGCGGUAA